CUUCUCUGCUCCCGCGACUCGACCCUCUCUCUAUAAAUACAACCGCCGGCUCCCACCGCCAAACCAUCCAUCACAGACCACCACACCAACAACAGACUACGGAGGACCGCCGCCGCCCACGCAAAAACCCACCCGAUCCCCGCAAAAACCCCCGCACGCGAUCCACGCCAAUUCCAGUCACCGCGAUGCAGGGUCUCGCCCCGCCCACCUCUGUUUCCAUACACCGGCACCUGCCGGCCCGGUCCAGGGCCCGGGCCUCCAAUUCCGUCAGGUUCUCGCCGCGCGCCGUCAGCUCCGUGCCGCCCGCCGAGUGCCUCCAAGCGCCGUUCCACAAGCCCGUCGCCGACCUGCCGGCGCCGUCCAGGAAGCCCGCCGCCAUUGCCGUCCCAGGGCACUCCGCGGCGCCGAGGAAAGCGGACGGCGGCAAGAAGCAGCUCAACUUGUUCCAGCGCGCCGCGGCGGCCGCGCUCGACGCGUUCGAGGAAGGGUUCGUGGCCAACGUCCUGGAGCGGCCCCACGGGCUGCCCAGCACGGCCGACCCGGCCGUGCAGAUCGCCGGCAACUUCGCGCCCGUCGGGGAGAGCCCGCCCGUGCACGAGCUCCCCGUCUCCGGCCGCAUCCCGCCCUUCAUCGACGGGGUCUACGCGCGCAACGGCGCCAACCCCUGCUUCGACCCCGUCGCCGGGCACCACCUCUUCGACGGCGACGGCAUGGUGCACGCGCUGCGGAUACGCAACGGCGCCGCCGAGUCCUACGCCUGCCGCUUCACGGAGACCGCGCGCCUGCGCCAGGAGCGCGCGAUCGGCCGCCCCGUCUUCCCCAAGGCCAUUGGCGAGCUGCACGGGCACUCCGGGAUCGCGCGCCUCGCCCUGUUCUACGCGCGCGCCGCGUGCGGCCUCGUGGACCCCUCGGCCGGCACCGGCGUGGCCAACGCCGGCCUCGUCUACUUCAACGGCCGCCUGCUCGCCAUGUCCGAGGACGACCUCCCCUACCACGUCCGCGUGGCGGACGACGGCGACCUCGAGACCGUCGGCCGCUACGACUUCGACGGGCAGCUCGGCUGCGCCAUGAUCGCGCACCCCAAGCUGGACCCGGCCACCGGGGAGCUCCACGCGCUCAGCUACGACGUCAUCAAGAGGCCGUACCUCAAGUACUUCUACUUCAGGCCCGACGGCACCAAGUCCGACGACGUGGAGAUCCCGCUGGAGCAGCCUACGAUGAUCCACGACUUCGCCAUCACCGAGAACUUCGUGGUUGUGCCCGACCACCAGGUGGUGUUCAAGCUCCAGGAGAUGCUGCGCGGCGGGUCGCCCGUGGUGCUGGACAAGGAGAAGACGUCGCGGUUCGGCGUGCUCCCCAAGCACGCCGCGGACGCGUCGGAGAUGGCGUGGGUGGACGUGCCGGACUGCUUCUGCUUCCACCUGUGGAACGCGUGGGAGGACGAGGCGACGGGCGAGGUGGUGGUGAUCGGCUCCUGCAUGACCCCCGCCGACUCCAUCUUCAACGAGUCCGACGAGCGCCUGGAGAGCGUGCUGACGGAGAUCCGCCUGGACGCGCGCACGGGCCGGUCCACGCGCCGCGCCGUCCUGCCGCCGUCGCAGCAGGUGAACCUGGAGGUGGGCAUGGUGAACCGCAACCUGCUGGGCCGCGAGACCCGGUACGCGUACCUCGCGGUGGCGGAGCCGUGGCCCAAGGUGUCGGGCUUCGCCAAGGUGGACCUGUCCACGGGCGAGCUCACCAAGUUCGAGUACGGCGAGGGCCGGUUCGGCGGCGAGCCAUGCUUCGUGCCCAUGGACCCGGCCGCGGCCCACCCGCGCGGCGAGGACGACGGGUACGUGCUCACCUUCGUCCACGACGAGCGCGCCGGCACGUCGGAGCUACUUGUGGUCAAUGCCGCCGACAUGCGGCUGGAGGCCACGGUCCAGCUGCCGUCCCGCGUGCCCUUCGGCUUCCACGGCACCUUCAUCACGGGCCAGGAGCUCGAGGCCCAGGCGGCCUGACCGAGCUCCACGUUUCUCGGAGGAGGAACAGAGGAGCCAGCCAUGGAUCAGGGGAGAAGUCACCAGAGGGAGCCCAGAUCAGUUCCCCGGGGUCUUCCUGUCCCCCCACGCACACCAGAGUUACAGUUGGUAGUUGCUUUGCUUUGCCUUUUUUUUUUCAUUAUUUCAUUUGACACUAGUGUAAGUAAAUUGGGAUAGUGGCAGCUUAGAGAGAGAGAGAGAGAUUAGUAGAAAGGCGCCCAGCUCGUAGCUUUUCAGCUGGUGGUGCCUCUGGCUAGUAUAGAGUACAUAUUUUUUCUUCUUCUUCUUUGCUUUAUCCCUUUUUUUUUCUCCCUUUGGAUGACAUGGAUGUGCAUCCAGCUCCAGUUGUUGUCACCCAGUCCAGUGGACUGGGGUGUCUGGGAUCUUGGUUGCUGCUACUUGCUCGCCAUUGCCACCCAGUUGCUGCCGCUGCUGCUGAGGUGUUGCUGGCUUGGCUUAUAUACUCUGUGUUCCCUGUGGCUAUCGGUGCGUGUACAUUUGUUCACAGUAUAUGACUGAUGGUAUGAAAACAAGAACCGGUGACGGUUUCUGUCU
rnacentral:misc_RNA from 1 species